AAAGAAGAUUAAACAAAAGAAAUCGUAGCUAAAAAAAAAAGACCGCAUAGCAUCUCUGGCGCUGCCUCGGCGGCCGGCGCCGUGGUCACCGGAGCCUCCGCCAUCGGCAUCCCACGCCGGAGCUGCCGCAGCCAACAACGUACCACUCUGCAACUGCUGACUCCGCCACCGCCGUCGACGUUCCACGACGCGCCUCUUGUUCUCUCGUCCCCGAUCUCGGGGUGGAACUGCAGCUGGCGCAGUGAAGGAGAGGGGAGAGUAAGCCGAUCUUGUUCCAGGCCACGCUCGCAUUAGCGGUCGUCCUCCCACCUCCCCACGUCAGACACCCCAAGUUCUGUUGCUACUGAUCCGAGACUACGUUGCACACAAGGUGUUUGAGACAGAGACUAAGAUAGUUUGAUGACAAAGAGAAGUAUUGGUUCAGAUGAAGACCUGCGUCUGCAUAGAACAAUGGUGAAACGAAAGAAACAAGGGCUUCAACUGACCAACCUGCCAACGGAUAUUCUCUGCAGUAUCCUGUCACAAUUGCCGAUAAAAGAAGCUGUACGGACGAGCAUACUGUCAGAACAGUGGAAAUGUCUUUGGCAUCACCACCCAAAUCUAGUAUUUACUCUUAGCUCGAUGUUGCCAAUUCCUCGUACCUUACCGUUAACACCCAAUGAUGAUGAGCCAAGGAAACAUGAGUUUAUUCAGAGAGUCGAUGCAGUCCUACAGCAGCGCAGUGGUGUGGGGGUUGAGAACGUUCAGUUUCGGGCUCCAUUUGAAGAUGACCAAAGGGAUCAGAUAAAUAGAUGGGUGAACUUUGCUAUUGCAUCCAAGGCGAAACAGCUUAUAUUUGAUUUCUUAACUGCCAGCCCUAUGAGGCCACCAUAUAACUUCGAUUUGCGGCUUCUCGAUGACAGUAAUAGUUUACACUUGCGAUAUGUAAAACUCUGUUCCGUUUCUCUCAAGGUGCCUGCGGAUUUCAACGGUUUUCAGAACCUUAAAUGGAUUUGCUUGGCAGGCACGAAUAUUACCGAUGAUGACCUUCAACUUUUAGUGUCCAGCUGCUGUGUUUUGGAGUUACUUGGAAUUGCUAGCUGUAGAAUGCUUACAAGGGUACAGCUAUCUCAUCCUUCAAAUCCACUGAAGCAUUUGCACGUACAUGACUGUCGCUUGCUUCAGGCGAUGGAGUUAAACUUUGGUCUGGUAGAACUUGAGUACAGUGGCCCAUCGAUACUGUUGUCAGCUCCUGGAACUUUGCUUCUCAAAAAUAUGUGCAUCGAGUUGAAUGAUAUGUGUCCUUCUCUGGAAUACAUCUCUACGAAACUUGAUAAUAACGUGCCUCGUCUUGAGAUGCUGACUCUUCAUUGCACCGAGUCGAAGAGGGCUUCGUUGCCAGGAAAGCUGCACAAAUUUUCUUAUCUAAAGCACCUGAGACUGGAGCUGACUUUUUUGGGUGCUCCGAGAAGCAAGAGUGAUAUCCUCGAUUUCGCCUGCCUUCUAAUUGCUGCUCCUUUCCUGGAAAAGCUGGAAUUUCACAUGGUGCUGCGCUGCGAGCAUCCAAGGUACACCACCGACCAGGGAGACCUACGGAGCCUUCCCUCAGAGCCUCACCUGCAUCUCAGGCUGGUCGAAAUCACAGGGUUUUACGGCUGGAAAGGCCAGCUGGAGCUGGCGCUUCACAUCGUGAGGAACUCUGUCGCGCUCGAGGCGAUGAAGAUAGAUCCGAUCCCAGCCCCUGCAGUAGUUGGUUCCGAUUUUAGGCUGCUAGGAUGCCCGGAGUUCACUUCCUUUUCGGAUGGCUACGAGGCCGCCCUUGAGUUCCUCUGCAGCGCCGACCAUCGCCAUGUUGUUCAUGUCCUGGAACCUUGAGCUCAAGGAAGUCCCGGAGAAAAAUGUAUCUCUCUCACACACACCCCGCAACUUCCUCCAGACCAGCGUGGUGCCAUGCUAGCAGGCAAGAUGGCGAGCAGACAUAAAUCACUCAAGGAAGACAAGAUAAGGCAUGGCAUGGCUUGCCACUUGCUGUUGAUAAAGAGCUACUACAAUUCCUACAACCAGAUUUCCCUGUCAGUGGAUGAAAUCAUCAAGGGUAAAGCCCCGUUAAUGUUGAACCCACCAGGAACUCAAGAGCAACCGCAGCCUAAUACAAUUCCAAAGCGGUGGCCAAGACCUCCUGCGGGCAUAUUAGCAUUACCAGUGGAUGGGUCUUAUAAUGGCUCAGAUGGUUCGGCGGGUUCUGGUAUGAUAUUGAGAGAUGAUAAAGGUGGGGUGAUCUUCGCAGCGUAUCGUAAAAUUUUCAAUUGCAACGAAGCCCUUGAGGCCGAACUACAAGCUAUGGCAGAGGGACUCAAGUUGGCGGCCGAGCACUCUUCGGCUAAUAUUCUUUUACAAUCGGACUGUUCCUUAGCACUCAAGGCGCUGUCGGAUGACUCGUUGGAUAGAUCCAUGCAUGGCCAUCUGGUUAGAACGGUUAAGGGGUACAUGAAUGAUAGGGUUGUAAUUCCAGUUAAAAUUCAUAGAGAGCAAAACAGGGUUGCAGAUUUGUUAGCGAAUUAUGGUAGAUGUGGGGAUAGCACCAGGGGCGAACCCACGUUCAGGGGAGUGGGGGCCUAGGACCCCACUCAAACUUUGAAGUUCCAGUAGAAUUUCUUUGAAAUUUGAGAAAAAAUUGCCAAAACUAUUUAAGUUGGUGUAAAGUGUGCCCC